rnacentral:rRNA from 1 species
AUACGAAGGGGGCUAGCGUUGCUCGGAAUUACUGGGCGUAAAGGGAGCGUAGGCGGACAUUUAAGUCAGGGGUGAAAUCCCAGAGCUCAACUCUGGAACUGCCUUUGAUACUGGGUGUCUUGAGUGUGAGAGAGGUAUGUGGAACUCCGAGUGUAGAGGUGAAAUUCGUAGAUAUUCGGAAGAACACCAGUGGCGAAGGCGACAUACUGGCUCAUUACUGACGCUGAGGCUCGAAAGCGUGGGGAGCAAACAGGAUUAGAUACCCUGGUAGUCCACGCCGUAAACGAUGAUUGCUAGUUGUCGGGGAGUUUACUUCUCGGUGACGCAGCUAACGCAUUAAGCAAUCCGCCUGGGGAGUACGGUCGCAAGAUUAAA